GACCAAUGAAGGUCAACUACCAGCUAAGCGGCGAUGUGAAGCAUCAGAAGUAAUGAUACUCUCUGAAGUUAAGACACUAAUGAGAAGUGUCUACAUAAGUCUGCACAACCCAGGCAACACAAAGCUCAAUGCUUUCCUGAAGACUAAAAUCAUGGAUUUGGAGACAGAUAAGAGGGAGCUGGUUGGUGUCUUUGGCAGAACUGGAGCAGGAAAGAGUUCUUUGAUAAAUGCUGUCAUUGGGGAGAAGAAACUUUUGCCCACUGGAAGUAUCAGUGCAUGCACCUCAGUCAUGAUUAAAGUAGAGGCUAACAGGC